UAGCCAUGCAUGUCUAAGUAUAAAUUCUUGUACGAUGAAACUGCAGACGGCUCAUUACAACAGUGAUAAACUAAUAGACUUUCGGGUUUUACCUUUUGGAUAACCGCAGUAAAUCGGGGCUAAUACAUAGAAGCGAGGGGUGACUGAUUUAUCGGAAGCUCCGCGAUUAUUAGCAUUCAACCAAUACCCGCAAGGGUUCUGUUGGUGAAACCGAAUAAUAUUGCAGAUCGAAGAUUUAUCUUCGACAAGUCUACUGUGUCACUGCCCUAUCAACUUUCGAUGGUACGGUAUUGGCCUACCAUGGUUGUAACGGGUAACGGGGAAUUAGGGUUCGAUUCCGGAGAGGGAGCCUGAGAAAUGGCUACCACUUCUACGGAAGGCAGCAGGCGCGCAAAUUACUCAAUCCCAAUACGGGGAAGUAGUGACAAUAAAUAUCGAUGCCUAUCCAUUUAUGGAAGGGUAAUUGAAAUGAACACAAAUUAAAACUCUUAAUUAAUACAAUUGGAGGGCAAGUCUGGUGCCAGCAGCCGCGGUAAUUCCAGCUCCAAUAGCAUAUACUAAAGUUGUUGCAGUUAAAAAGCUCGUAGUUGAAGUUAAAGCUUUAUUUGGGUUAAAAAUCCAUUUGCCUUUUAACGGUUAAAUAGGAUUCCAGUAUUGCUUUUUUAAAGUUCAGUUUGUAUUGCCUUUGGUAGUAUUUAUUUGGACAUUUCACUGUGAGAAAAUUGUGGUGUUUAAAGCAGGCGUCUCUGUCUGAUCUUUUGCAGCAUGGUAUGAUGGAACAUGACAUUUUGCG
rnacentral:rRNA from 1 species